rnacentral:rRNA from 1 species
CGUCCUACGGGACGCAGCAGUGGGGGAUAUUGGACAAUGGGGGAAACCCUGAUCCAGCGAUGCCGCGUGAGGGAAGAAGGUUUUCGGAUUGUAAACCUCUGUGGAGGGGGACGAUAAUGACGGUACCCCUUUAGGAAGCCACGGCUAACUACGUGCCAGCAGCCGCGGUAAUACGUAGGUGGCGCGCGUUGUCCGGAAUUACUGGGUGUAAAGGGAGUGUAGGCGGGGAAGGAAGGCAGAAGUGAAAACUAUGGGCUUAAGCCAUAGACUGCUUUUGAAUCUGUUUGUCUU